CUGUUAUCCCUUCUCGUUCUAUUAUCCCUUUCUCUCUCUCUUCCUCUCUCUCUCUAAGCGCUCCGAUUAUAUUCUCUCGCAAUUAAAGAAAAAAAUCUCGAAACUUUUGAAUUUUUUUUUUUUUCACUUUCACCCGGAUCAUUUUGAUUUGACUGUUUUACGACAGUCAAUAUUUCAUUUUUUUUAAUUGGGUGCUGACGUGGCAUGCAUCCAAUAGAGAAGCACCAUGAACACCAAAACGAUGCGUCUUCCCCCACGUCGCGUUCUAACGGCGGAUAAACGCAAAGAAAGAGACGGCGCCAUCUCCUCCGUCACAGAAAAAUCGCCGGAAAUCGCCGUGAAGAAGCUUCCUCCACCGCCAAAUCUUGUUCCUCCGCCGCCGGUUAAUCCCAUUUCCAGAAAAUCUACAACCGCAGUAGCCGAGCCGGUCGGCUCGAACCAGCUUAUUUUAGCCGGUUAUCUGAGCCACGAGUUCCUCACGAACGGCACACUCUUCGGAGAGCAAUGGAACCCGGCUCGAGUCCAGUCAGUCGAGGCCAGGAAGGUGAAGCCGAGCCAUAUUAAUGAGCCGGCUGGGGAAAGUGAGCCGAAACGGAAGAGGUACACGGAGGUUGCAAAUCUUCUCCGGUCAGACGGGCCCCACUUGCCCGGCAUCGUCAAUCCUGCCCAGCUUGCCCGAUUUCUUAAACUGUGAUCGGCGUAAUCCGGUGUCCACGUGGAGACAGAUCAUUGGGUUGUCGCCCGGCAAGCGAGACAGCCUUAGACCGGAACCUUCCCGUUCCUCUCUCUCUCUCUCUCUCUCUCUCUCUCUCUCUCUCUCUCUCUCUUUUUUCUUCUGUUCAAAUGUUUUUAAAAAAAUCCUCUUGUCUCUCUGUGUAAAGCUCUCUCUUCUUCUCCUCAUCUUCUUCCUCGGAAAUUGACUGAGAAAUUUUUAGGGUUUGUUGUUGAGAGUUUGUGGAAGAUACCGAUUGCGUUUGAGUGGUGUGACGCGUUUGCUACUGUAACUAGACAAUCGAAACUGCAAACUGUCGAGUAAGCAGUGGACUGAACGGUGAUCAUAGGAUUAACACCAAGAGCUGUAGGCAGAACACUUGCAUCACAGACAUACAAAUCUUCUGCCUCCCA